UACGAGGGGGGCAAGCGUUGUUCGGAAUUACUGGGCGUAAAGCGCGUGUAGGCGGGUCUUUAAGUCAGGGGUGAAAUGCCAGGGCUCAACCUUGGAACUGCCUUUGAUACUGGAGACCUUGAGUCCGGGAGAGGUGAGUGGAAUUGCGAGUGUAGAGGUGAAAUUCGUAGAUAUUCGGAAGAACACCAGUGGCGAAGGCGGCUCACUGGACCGGUAUUGACGCUGAGGUGCGAAAGCGUGGGGAGCGAACAGG
rnacentral:rRNA from 1 species